rnacentral:rRNA from 1 species
UGGGGAAUAUUGCACAAUGGACGCAAGUCUGAUGCAGCGACGCCGCGUGGGGGAUGAAGGCUUUCGGGUUGUAAACUCCUUUCAGUACAGAAGAAGCGAUGAGUGACGGUAUGUGCAGAAGAAGCGCCGGCUAACUACGUGCCAGCAGCCGCGGUAAUACGUAGGGCGCGAGCGUUGUCCGGAAUUAUUGGGCGUAAAGAGCUCGUAGGCGGUUUGUUGCGCCUGCUGUGAAAGUCCGGGGCUUAACUUCGGGGUUGCAGUGGGUACGGGCAGACUAGAGUGUGGUAGGGGUAAUUGGAAUUCCUGGUGUAGCGGUGGAAUGCGCAGAUAUCAGGAGGAACACCGAUGGCGAAGGCAGGUUACUGGGCCACCACUGACGCUGAGGAGCGAAAGCGUGGGUAGCGAACAGGAUUAGAUACCCUGGUAGU